UAUCUCUGUAGAGUCUGCAUAUCAAUAAGCGGAGGAAAAGAAACUAACUAGGAUUCCCUUAGUAACGGCGAGUGAAGCGGGAAGAGCUCAAAUUUGAAAUCUUCAAGGUUCUACCUUGACGAAUUGUAGUUUAAAGAAGUGUUUUCUGUUAGAUGAGUAGCAAAAGUUCCUUGGAAUGGGACAUCAUAGAGGGUGAGAAUCCCGUAUUUGGUUAUUCAUUCUAGCUUUGUGAUACACUUUCAAAGAGUCGGAUUGUUUGGGAAUGCAGUCCAAAAUGGGUGGUAAAUUUCAUCUAAAGCUAAAUAUUGGCGAGAGACCGAUAGCGAACAAGUACCGUGAGGGAAAGAUGAAAAGAACUUUGAAAAGAGAGUUAAACAGUACGUGAAAUUGUCAAAAGGGAAGCGUUUGACACCAGUGUUGUUUUUCCGAAAAUCAAUUACGAAUGGCUUGAUUCUGUGUUGUAUUGACCUUAUCAGCUUUCUUCACUUUUUUCGAGUCUUUCUUAAUGCACUUUUCGGUUAACAAGUCAACAUCAAUUUCUUUUGUUGUAAAAGAGUAUUCGGAAGGUGGCUUUCUUUUCGGAGAAAGUGUUUAUAGCCCUAUACUUCUACAAUCGGAGAGAUUGAGGUCUGCAGCGUAGAUCCUUCGGGGUUAGAUACAUUUGUGCUAAGUUAUAGCCUUUCAUAGACAACUUGUUGACUAUGAUCAGUCAUGUAGCUUACUCGCUUAUGCUAUUUUACCUACGCUUAGGAUGUUGACGAGACUGUCGAUCUC
rnacentral:rRNA from 1 species